UACAGAGGUCCCGAGCGUUGUUCGGAUUCAUUGGGCGUAAAGGGUGCGUAGGCGGCGGGGAAAGUCUGAUGUGAAAUCCUGGGGCUCAACCCUGGAACUGCAUUGGAUACUUCCUUGCUAGAGUACUGGAGAGGAAACUGGAAUUUACGGUGUAGCAGUGAAAUGCGUAGAGAUCGUAAGGAAGACCAGUGGCGAAGGCGAGUUUCUGGACAGUUGACUGACGCUGAGGCACGAAGGCCAGGGGGAGCAAAACGGGG
rnacentral:rRNA from 1 species